rnacentral:lncRNA from 1 species
CCUUGCAUAGUCUACUGGAAGUUAGCACAUUUUAAUUUGCUCAGGACUUUGUGUCUGUUGGCCAUCGUCACUAUAAGUGGGAUUGCUGGAGUAAGAGUAGCCUUCACUUCUUUGACCACCUGAAAGUUUAUGAAAUUAUGGGUGCUGUCAAUAUCAAUCAGAAUGAUUACCGUCUUGUUACCAGCUUCUUCUUGGAUCUUAAUAGUAUCAUGCUGAUUCUGUCCCACUAAGGCAUAGACUGCAGUCCCCAACUCAUUCUCCUCUUCUUCCCCCAUCAAGGUCUCCCCUUCUACUUCUUCCUCAUGUAAUAGGUGCUCAUUAAAAGACUCAUCUGUUUCUACUGCAACAUUAAUGGAAUGUGCUGAUUUCUAUGAACACUGGUGGCCGAAAUGGUAUUUCUCCCCACAUCUAAAGCAAAAAUCGAUUGUCCUUCUUUAUUCCCAUUGCUGCUUACUGACUCCUUGAGGCAAGUUUGGGUUUUUGGUAAUUAAAGACUUAAUACCUUCUCUUUGUACAAUUGAUCUAGGAGUAUGGUAGCCUGUUGAUUGUGUUAAGGUUGUUCUAUUGGUCAUCUUACUCUUUUUCCACAAAACUGAUAGUACUUGCUCAUAGAGCUUGACUUGUUCAUAUACUUCUUCUAAUAUUGUUAGAUGAGAUAGGUCAAUAAAUGAAACUAACUCUUUCUUUAGUCCGCUUAUGUAGCUUUCUAUAAAGUACUG